GGGCCCUGGUGCUUACACCACUGACCCAAGACUGAGUUCGACUACUGUGCCAUCAAGCAGUGUGCUGGAGAGAAAGUGCCAAUCAUUGGGCCAACGACGGAUGUUGUCUUUAACGAAUGUGGAAAGCGGGAUGGACCGGAAAUG